rnacentral:rRNA from 1 species
GGCGGACGGGUGAGUAACGCGUGGGAAUCUACCCAGUAGCGGGGGAUAACUUGGGGAAACUCAAGCUAAUACCGCAUACGCCCUAAGGGGGAAAGGCCGGGAUCUUCGGACCGGUCGCUAUUGGAUGAGCCUGCGUAAGAUUAGCUAGUUGGUAGGGUAAAGGCCUACCAAGGCGACGAUCUUUAGCUGGUCUGAGAGGAUGAUCAGCCACACUGGAACUGAGACACGGUCCAGACUCC